rnacentral:rRNA from 1 species
AUGCAGUCGAGCGGUAGAGAGAAGCUUGCUUCUCUUGAGAGCGGCGGACGGGUGAGUAAUGCCUAGGAAUCUGCCUGGUAGUGGGGGAUAACGUCCGGAAACGGACGCUAAUACCGCAUACGUCCUACGGGAGAAAGUGGGGGCUCUUCGGACCUCACGCUAUCAGAUGAGCCUAGGUCGGAUUAGCUAGUUGGUGAGGUAAUGGCUCACCAAGGCGACGAUCCGUAACUGGUCUGAGAGGAUGAUCAGUCACACUGGAACUGAGACACGGUCCAGACUCCUACGGGAGGCAGCAGUGGGGAAUAUUGGACAAUGGGCGAAAGCCUGAUCCAGCCAUGCCGCGUGUGUGAAGAAGGUCUUCGGAUUGUAAAGCACUUUAAGUUGGGAGGAAGGGUCGUUACCUAAUACGUGGCGAUUUUGACGUUACCGACAGAAUAAGCACCGGCUAACUCUGUGCCAGCAGCCGCGGUAAUACAGAGGGUGCAAGCGUUAAUCGGAAUUACUGGGCGUAAAGCGCGCGUAGGUGGUUUGUUAAGUUGGAUGUGAAAUCCCCGGGCUCAACCUGGGAACUGCAUCCAAAACUGGCAAGCUAGAGUAGGGCAGAGGGUGGUGGAAUUUCCUGUGUAGCGGUGAAAUGCGUAGAUAUAGGAAGGAACACCAGUGGCGAAGGCGACCACCUGGGCUCAUACUGACACUGAGGUGCGAAAGCGUGGGGAGCAA